CUCAUAUGAAAUGACUGUUUCUGUUUUCUGGAAAGGUUAAAAUGGCUUCACUUCUAUAAUGAAUUUACACUAAACUUCCCAUUUGAGCUAUUAUGUCUGUAGUUCUUUCAAGAAGCUGGGUGCCUCCCUAGGACAAGAGCAGUAACAUGUGCUUCAUCUUUUGGAGCCCAUUCCCCUUUUGUGGUGUUGGAAAACCAGAAGCUGGUUGGGAACCUGUGGUGCCUACAUCCGUGAUAUGAAAUUUCUGUCUCCUCUCCAACCCUCAUUUCCACUCUCUGAAAGGAUCCAGAAGUCUCUGAGUUUUGCAAAUGUGUAUGCUGGACACCAAGUAGCUGUGAACCCUUCCUUCUCUUGCAUUCUGUUUGAUCUGCAAGUACUUGGGAAUGGGAGAAGCGUGCACGAUUGGAAACAGCAAAAUUCACUAUUCCUGCCAUGGUUUUGCUUGGGCAAACUGCACCUCACCUAUGAGAACCACACACAUGAUACCCAGAGCCUGGUUAUGUGUGGAAAUUAAAACAGAAGCAACUCAGUUUCCAGAUGGCAUCCAUAUUUUCCUUCUCUCUAAAGCUUUUAUAUUUUUUUAAGAAAAAGAUGGGUGUAAGGCUCUAGGUCCUGUGAAUUUGGAACAAACUAGUAAGAUAGUAAUUAAAACAGCAACAGAGAUCAAAACAGGUGAAAGUAAGAACUGCAGAUGCUGAAGAAAUCUCUUGCAGAAGAAAUUUAUAAGACUUCAGUAAAUCUACAGGAAAUGAAUAUCGGUUCUAUAAACCUCCAACUGAUAAUCACAGGGAAAAAAAUUAAAGCAAAAGGGGAUCUUCUACAAAAAUAAAAAAUCAAAGCUUACAGUAAAACCCAGAGUCAAACCUAACUGUUGCACAGAGUCAAAAUUAAUCUGUUGCUCUCAGUGGUGUGAUCUGCUGUGCUGCACAUGUAAAAUUUUUGGGUCAUCUCUUGUUGAGCACCUUCUCACUAAUUACUGUAAAUAAAACACUUAUGAAAUUCUAGUAAUCUUUCAAGUCCAUUUGAUGUGCCUGCAGGAAGCCUCCUUUCUGUUGUUUCCUAAUUAUUCUUAUUUAGAACAAUGACCUAAACUGAAUUUGUUAGAUUUAA